UCUCCGUAGGUGAACCUGCGGAGGAAUCAUUACAGAGUUCAUGCCCUACCGGGUAGAUCUCCCACCCUAUGUUAUUAUUACUUUGUUGCUUUGGCGGGCCGUUAGGCUCCGGCCCGACUACCGGCCCCGGCUGGUAAGCGCCCGCCAGAGGACCCAAAACCCUGAAUAUUAGUGUCGUCUGAGUACUAUAUAAUAGUUAAAACUUUCAACAACGGAUCUCUUGGUUCUGGCAUCGAUGAAAACGCAGC
rnacentral:misc_RNA from 1 species